AGCGUCAUGUAGGGAUGGCACAAAAGCUGUUUGCAUCGUUUAUAUUCUAGUUGUCUCUUUUAUAUAUAUAGGCCGGUAAAUAUCUGGAUUAUUCUCGGCAUCUCACUCGAUGGAACUAAAUUUGAAGGAUUUUGUAGGAGUGUAAAUUUUAUACAUGAUUUGAACCUAACCAAGAACAGUAUACUAAGCUCUCUGGUAGGAAUCGUGCUUUUUACGUUCUAUUUAUCUUGGAGUAAACUAUAGGAGGCAAAACGUUGAGG